UACGGAGGGUGCAAGCGUUAUCCGGAUUUACUGGGUGUAAAGGGAGCGUAGACGGUAAUGUAAGUCUGAUGUGAAAGCCCGGGGCUCAACCCCGGGACUGCAUUGGAAACUAUGUAACUAGAGUACCGGAGAGGUAAGCGGAAUUCCUAGUGUAGCGGUGAAAUGCGUAGAUAUUAGGAAGAACACCAGUGGCGAAGGCGGCCUGCUGGGCUUUUACUGACGCUGAGGCUCGAAAGUGUGGGGAGCAAACAGG
rnacentral:rRNA from 1 species